CCUACGGGUGGCAGCAGUGGGGAAUAUUGCACAAUGGGCGCAAGCCUGAUGCAGCCAUGCCGCGUGUGUGAAGAAGGCCUUCGGGUUGUAAAGCACUUUCAGCGGGGAGGAAGGCGGUGAGGUUAAUAACCUCAUCGAUUGACGUUACCCGCAGAAGAAGCACCGGCUAACUCCGUGCCAGCAGCCGCGGUAAUACGGAGGGUGCAAGCGUUAAUCGGAAUUACUGGGCGUAAAGCGCACGCAGGCGGUCUGUCAAGUCGGUUGUGAAAUCCCCGGGCUCAACCUGGGAACUGCAUUCGAAACUGGCAGGCUAGAGUCUUGUAGAGGGGGGUAGAAUUCCAGGUGUAGCGGUGAAAUGCGUAGAGAUCUGGAGGAAUACCGGUGGCGAAGGCGGCCCCCUGGACAAAGACUGACGCUCAGGUGCGAAAGCGUGGGGAGCAAACAGGAUUAGAUACCCUAGUAGUC
rnacentral:rRNA from 1 species